AUCUCUCGAUGAUUUUCAAAUAUGUUGUCAGGAUCAUGAUUUUGGACAACUUUUUCCUACAUACAUAUAACAUAUAACUGCUGCUCGGCUUUAGUUUUCGAGAUAAGGAUUGUUAUGUGCUCUUUGAUGUGGGUUAGAUACCGCUUAGGUUUAGGUUAGAUUUAUCUAUGGACUCCCAUUGGAAUAAUUAUAUAUAUAGGUACAAUGCAAUAUUUCAGGUUCCAAUAUUCAAGGAUAUUGAUUAACAAAUGAUAUCGGUCAGAUUUUUUCUUCCAAUACAUUUACCUAGGAUAGGUUCACCCAAAUUUUAUGGAUACUUCAUUUGAUGACAGUUUCAAAAGGAAGACGGAAGCAUAAGAACUUGUUUGCAGAGAAGAGUUGAGUUGUUAUUUGAAAUACAUAAACUCAAAACUUUUGUUUUAUUUUGUGCCGGGUGAAAAUAUCUCUGUAGUUGUGAAAUACAAGGAGACAGUUUCUUUUAUUACCUAGAACCCAGAGAAGCCAAUCAAAUGGAAAAUAAAAAAUAAAAAUAAUAAUAUACUUUGAAACAGGAUACAUUUGCAGUAUUGUGGUACUUUGAUAAUAGUCUAUUGUCAACAGAACAGUUGAUAAGAAUUGAUCUUUCAGUGUCAACUACAAUUUCUUUACUCUUAUAUAAAACGCUAUUGGAUAAAGCUCCAGUUUCUCAAGGACACCGCAUGUUCAGUGACUAUUAUACAAGCUGUUCUUUGCCCAAAAAAUUAUACAAGAUAAAGUGUUAUCUAACCAAACAAAUUCGCAGAAAAUAUUCAAACAAAUAGAAAAAGAUUGUCAUAAAAGAUAAAAUAGAAUGAAACAUCUAUAGUAGCAUGUUAACAUUUAGCCAACCGCACGUGCCAUAGCGAGCUAUUUUCACCGCGCGUUUCCACCGCCCUCGGACAAGGUAAACAAUAACUAAUAAUAACAACAAAAGAGAAAACGCAUUGCUAAAAUCAAAAAGGGAGAUCUCAUUCGGUCACCCAGCAAUGUUCUUCACAGAGGGGAGAUCUCCCCAUUCGGUUGGUUAAGUGUUAAGGAAAUAAUACUUUGAUCCUGGUUUUGAAAAAUAAGCAGAUUAUACCAAUGUUGGCAAAUUGGGACAAUGGUGGAAUGAGUUCUGUCAGAAGGAUACUAUGGGAUGAUAUUAAAAUUAUUAUAGAAAAAUCUAAUAUUCUAUAUUACAUAAAAUUUAUGGAUGGUGUCGAUUAAGCAGACAGAUACAGUUUAACAUAUUCCUUCAUGAGAAAAACUCUUUAGUGGUGGUAUAAGCUAUUUUUUUGAAAGAUUAGAAAUAUCUAUUAUCCUGUAUAGAAAUUGAUACAUAUUAUAUAAGUUUGUAAAAAAAUAAAGAGACAAAUGUCCACUUAUUCAUUCGAUAUAUAUUAAGUUACUAGUAAAUCAAUUUAGAGGUGAUUCUGAUGACAGGAUUGUAACGUAUUAAUUCAAACAGCUACAGAAUUAAUCUUUUAUUUUUUUCCUAAAGCUAUUACCCAAUAUAUAAGAUUAACAGUAAUUUGUAAAGUAGAAUAAAAUGUAAUUGUAAA
rnacentral:lncRNA from 1 species